GACGAACGCUGGCGGCGUGCUUAACACAUGCAAGUCGAACGGAAAGGCCCUGCUUUUGUGGGGUGCUCGAGUGGCGAACGGGUGAGUAACACGUGAGUAAACUGCCCUUGACUUUGGGAUAAAUCCAGGAAACAGGGGCUAAUACCGGAGAGAAGAUCCUGCUGCACGGUGGGGGUUGGAAAGUUUCGGCGGUGGGGGAUGGACUCGCGGCUUACCAGCUUGUUGGUGAGGUAGUGGAUUACCAAGGCUUUGACGGGUAGCCGGCCUUAGAGGUUGACCGGCCUCAUUGGGCCUGCGAUACGGCCCAGUCUCCUACGGUACGCAGCGGUGGGGAAUCUUGCGCAGUGGGCGGACGCCUGAUGCGGCAGCGCCGCGUGCGGGAUGCCGUCCUUCGGGUUGUAAACCGCUUUCUCCUGUGACGAAGCGUGAUUGACGGUAAUGGGUAAAGAAGCACCGGCUAACUACGUG
rnacentral:rRNA from 1 species